rnacentral:lncRNA from 1 species
CAUUGCACACGCGGCACCAGAAAGAGGAACAAUCUAAUUUGUGAGACUGCGGGUAUGAAACUGUCAUUCUCUGAGAGAGGACUGUGGAAGGCUGUAUUCUCUGUACUUCCCUCUCGUCCUCUCUCCCCAUGAGGCAACUUUGAGUAUAUUGCUCCCAAAGGUGUGCCAAGCUUGCAUUUGAACUUGGCUUUAUGUGAAAACAGAAUAUUCUUGUACUCCUUUGGAUUUAAGACGUUAGGCAACCGAGGAGUAUUCUCAAAGGAGGAUAGAAUGCCUAUAAACAAAACUACAGCUACAAGGAGUACUAGUGCGUAUUCCUCUAUCAAUGUUCUCCACACUUCUCCAACUCAGAGCCUAGCACAACUCUUCUAUAAUGCCCACCCUCCUCUACAAGGCCUGCUUCAGCCCAGCAAAGGAAGGCUCAGCCAACACUUCUUUCCUCCCGGAAAUCUUUUCAACAUCUCCAAGAGAGAAUUAGUCAGUUUAUCCUUGGAAUUUCAUAGCCAUAAAUCUGGACUUCUACUUGAUCCAAACACCAUGAUGUCUUGUGUUAUUUGUAUUAUUUAUGUAAUCAUUCCCUGUAUGAUUGUAAGCUACUCACCCUUGUGUGUUCAACAUUAUCCAGCAUAGGACAAAAGAACAUACUGAAUACAUUAAUAAAUGUACACAGUUAUAGAUCCAUCUCUUACAAUGAACUCACAGACACAGCAAAUUCAAGGGAUAAGAUGCAAACUUCAAAAAAAAAAUGAUAACCUUGCAUAGUAAACAUAAAAAUAGAGCAAAUAUUCAGUUUUUCUGAUCUUAGCUUUCCAGAGAGCGAUUAUUAAAGAAGCAAGAAUUUACCACUUACUGAAAACAGAGAGUUCAGUUUCUAACAGAAGGACUACAUUCCCUUCUCUGAGUUUGAACCUGAACAUAUUAAAGUAUUUGAAGUUAAUUCAGAAAAAAAGAGUACCAAUCUGCAACAUGUGCAAGAUUCUAUUUUUCUCUAAAAUUUCACUGUGAAGAAUAAACAGAAGGUUACUAACAGUUUAUAUCCUUACCUAUUUUGUUUUGUGGGACAAUGUAUUUUUUUCAAAUUUAAGAACUGUUUUACUUCAUUUCCUAUGCCUUAUUUUAUAACAACUGGCCAUGGAAUUUCAGUGUUUCAUAUGUGAAAGAAGGGAAAUAAAUAACAUUUUAAAGG